GUAAUUCUAUAUUUACCAAAAUAUGUUAUAAUAUGUUGUUAUGGACUCUUUUCUAGUAUUUGAUUUAUUUUAGGAUUAAAUUAUUUUGUCUUAUCUCUUUGUUUUCUUGCUCCUUACCACUCCUAUCUCAGUAGAAGUGUGUUAAUCAGUAAUACUAUUCUUUACAUAUAUUAGUGGAAAGUCAAAAAUAAAAUAAGCAAAUUUAUUUUAUUUAAACUCUCUUAACGAGUGCAAAAGGUCAGAACUUCCUUCAUUGAGCUCACAACAACAAUGAUUGGGCAAGAAAGACUCAAGGAAAACCAAUGGUUCAGCCUUGGACACUGAUUUUACUGUAAACAGACCUAUAAUGCGAUCCGCAUCCAGAGGACAUAACAAAUUAGAAUUAGAGUUUAGUGUCAUAGACGAUCAAAAUAAUCUACAGCAAAAAUUAGAAUCCCAUACCAAACUCUCUAAAUAACGUUACUAACAGCAAUGUUAGAAACAAAGAGAGAUUCGAGGAUUACUUGAGACCAUAACUAAGCAAUUAACUUUGGUUUAAUAGGCUGAACUGAGGAAGAACCAAGAUCCUGAAAUGGGAAAAGGCAACUGUAAUACCCGGCUAGACUCCGGCAUCGGAAUUCCCACUUUCCGGCGGAAUCUCGGAUGUCGGAACCCUCUAGAAGGGUAAAAUAUGGUUUUCUAAAAUAUUUUUGUGUUUUAUGGUUUUAAUAAAGAAGAAAAUGAGUUUUUGAAAAAAAAAGACCAAGGAAGAAAAUCCAGGUUCGGCCGCCGAACCUCAAGUUCGGCCGUCGAACAUGGGGAGUUUGCGGAAGCACCUUUGGCCCCUGAAGGUGGUCUGGCCAGCCACCUAUAAAAGGCCCUUGUCCGAAAAUGGGCGAGUUUUCUCUCUCUAUUUUCGGGCAUAGGUGAGAUUUCGCCCUUCCAUGGUCGAUUUGUUGUUUUUCUUCAAUCCCUUCAUGUUUUUAAUGAGUUUUUACUUGGUUUCGAAGAUUUUUGAGCUCAAGAUCAAGUUUUGAAGCUUGGAGACCCCCGGAGCUCGUUUUCUCCCAAUCUCCAAGUUUGGAUCACCUCUCCUCUCGAUCUUCAAGAGGUAAGUGUCGAUCCACGCCUUUUAUGAUGUUUUAAGUAAGUUUUAUGAAGGGGUUAAGGGGUUUUGAUGCAUGAUUAGGUUAGUUGUAUAUUGUUAGGGUUUAUGUGUGGUUAUUGAUAAAUGUAUGUUUAUGUGAUGUUUUUUGGGGUUUAGGCUAGUUUUAUGCCCCUAUAUGCUUGGAAAUGUGUUUAUGCAUGUUCUAGAAUGGUUGAAUGCAUGUUGUGAAGUUUUGGCUAGCUGAAUGCAUGAGGCAGAAUCGGGUUCUGCCAUUUCGAAGAACC
rnacentral:lncRNA from 1 species